CUGCAGAGGUUACCCCCUGGCAGCCAUGGGCCGUCGGCUCAUCCAUGGUCUCUCUGGAGCCAUCCUCUUCCUCAUCAGUGUGACUCUCCUGUCCGUGCGGCACCGUGAGCCUCAGCAAACAACUUGGUACCCGCUGCAACGGAGCGAAGAGGGAGGCAGUGACAGGGGACAGAAGGACCUGCAAGUCCAUCCUCCAGAGGGAUCCAGGGCUGAGAGGAGCCUGGUGCUUGGGGACAUCUUCAUAGCUGUGAAGACAACCAAGAGGUUUCACCAGAGCAGGAUGGAGCUGCUCCUGGACACGUGGAUAUCCCAGACCAGAGAGCAGACCUAUGUCUUCACUGAUGAAGAAGAUGAUGCCCUGAAGAGGAGAAUGGGUGAUCAUGCCAUCUUCACCAACUGCUCUGCUGAGCACAGCCACCUGGCCCUCUCCUGCAAGAUGGCUGCUGAGUUCGACGCCUUCCUGGCCAGUAGCCAGAGCUGGUUUUGCCAUUUGGAUGAUGACAACUACCUGAACCCUCAGGCCCUUGUGAAGCUCUUGUCCUCCUACUCUGCGACGUGGGACGUUUACCUGGGGAAGCCCAGCCUGAACCGACCCAUCCAGGCCUCUGAAGUGCUGCCCAACAACCAGACGAAACCUGUGCGCUUCUGGUUUGCCACGGGAGGGGCUGGGUUCUGCAUCAGUCGCAAGCUGGCGACCAAGAUGGUGCCGUGGGCCAGUGGCAGGAACUUCCUGAGUACUUCAGAGCUCAUUCGCCUGCCAGAUGACUGCACUGUGGGUUACAUCAUCGAGUGCAAAGUUGGUGGGCAGCUGCUGCCCAAUCUGCUCUUCCACUCCCACCUGGAGAACCUGCAGCUCAUCCCCACCUCUCAGCUCAUGCAGCAGGUCACCCUCAGCUAUGGUGUCUUGGAGAACAAACUUAAUGUUAUUGAACUUAGUGGCCCCUUCUCACCUCAAGAGGAUCCCUCAAGCAGGUUUCGAUCACUCCACUGCCACCUCUAUCCCAACACCUCCUGGUGCCUGCAGGCUGUUGGCUGGUGAUGCCUGAGCCUCAACUACAAUGGGUCCCAGUGACAUCCAUUCACCUUUUGCAUGUAGCAGGUGGGACACUGAAGAAGCUUGGUGCUCCACAUUUCCCCUUUUUUGUGAUGGUUUUGGGGCUAUGUGAUAGCUUUUUUUGGCCCUUUCUGAAUACUGGUGACACAAGGUGAGAGUCAAGAUCUGUCCCAAAGAUGGACAGCAACAGUCUUCCCAUCUGGGCUAGAAUCUAUGCAAGGGAUGGGAGCAGGAUGCCCUCUGAGCAGAUGAAAGACUGAAUAGUGACUGCUGGGCACCUGGAUAGAGAUGGGGACCCGCUGCUGCUCCUCGCUGUGGAUUCAUCCUGAUGGACCAGAAAGGUCUGGGUCUGGGUAAUCAGUGCCCACGUGGGGGUGGCUAAUAGUGUGUCCUGGUUCCAGCCUCCCUGAGCAGGUCCUCUGCCUCUGUGUCUGCCUAUACUUUCCUCACCACCCACUCCUCCUAGCCAUAGACCCUCAUCCGAGUCUCUGAUAAGUCAGGGUCUAUAGAAAUGGAAAAUGUGGCCAUUUCUGUGCUGGAUGAGUGCUGGACAAGUGUAGUCCUUGCUCAGCAGAGGGGGAAUGGGCAGGAAGUACAAAGAACGAGGAAUUCCUCCUCUGAUGGGACAAAGGAGAGAGUUUGGCCUGGGGAACCCAGGAGGAGACAGGCUGAGAUGAGGAUAACUCCUGCUCUGAACAUUGAAGGCUUGAUCUUGUAUGGCCCUGCAUUAUUCCUCUCUUUUUACCUUCUUGAUAUGGGGCCAGGAUAAUCUCUUGCUCUAAUUACCAACCUGUCGUCUGAGAUUAGGCUCCAGCUCCUACCUGUGAGAGAGGAGACAUGAAGGAUUAGAACUGGCUGAAAGGGAAGAGAAAGGAAGAGAGAGAGAAGGAGCACUCAGGAGCAGAUUAGAGGUUACAGCUUUAUAAUCUUCUCUGUGUCCCAACCAACUGAAAAAAAAGAAAAUAUGAAGUCAUGAAGAAAUGGAAACAGCAAAGACCUUUUUACUCAGCCUCAUUCCUCCAGAUACUAAAAGCAGCUUUCUGCCUUCUUGCUGUCCCUGCUGAACGCAGCAGGGGGAAGGAACAAGACCAAAUAGGCUACAAGCUUUCUGGAAUGUUUGUGGAGAGACCUUUUCUCAGCACAGAGCCUGGCAUGAAAUCUGGUCGAGUCUGCUUGCUGGGGAAUGAACUUUGGCACCAUUUUGUCCUUACACAUACAGUUAAAUGGCAGGGGGAGAGUGUUGCAGGGAAAGCUGGAAAACAGAAAGGCUGUUUUAAGUGGCGGGGGGUGCCACAAACAGGUAUUUCACUUUAAAGAGCGUUUCAAAACACACUACUGGGAUCUGUGAAAGAUUCCUGUAAUCUCCAGAUGAAAGGACAAGUGCCCUUUCUCCAAAGAGCUUCUCAGCUUUGAUGCUACUGAUGUGAGCAAGCCUGCUGUUGGUGGGCUGGAAGAGCCGAGGGCGACUCUUGCUGUGCCUCUACCAUUUUGAAAACUGGCCACCCUGUCACCUCCUCCCACUCCCUGCCAAGCACCAGCAUCUCCUACACAGCACACAUGAGGUUUAAAGGAAAAGUGUCAGGAGGACCUUCCACCUCUGUCAAGGGGAUUCUAGAAAUAAACAAGCACUUUAAUUACAGGAGAAGUGGAAAGCAGGAGUCUGUUGAGCUGUUUUCCAGGCUGGUCAUUCUUAGUGACAUUUAAUCAGCUUGUGAAGCAGCACAGAGCCCUGCUCCCUUUUUUUUUUGGACAACGUGCCUUUCAACUGGAAAUUCAUCCUCAGCAGGGGCAGGGGGUAGCUGAUGCCAGCUGCAUGAACCCAGGAGUCAUGCAGCUCAAAACAAAGACACCCUACUACUGCAAGGUAGGUGCAGCACAAAGAAGUCCUGCUCUACAGGGCAGCUGUUUUGAUUUGCACUCAAGCAGAGGAUGAAGAAUGCUUCAUGAGAAGGAAUGAGAAUCUUCAAGAGAAAUCUACACUACCUGUGUGUCUUUCCCCCCCCCACUCAACCUUUCAGCUGUUGUUAAUUGAGUCUUUGUAGGAAAAGGCCAGUCCUAUCCGUCCUGGUGACAGGCAAAGCAAAGUGCCUGGAGAAGCAGAAGAAGAAUCUGGUACAGCAGCUGCACUUCACUGGGAAAAAGCAAAGCAGAGAAAGUGGAAGCCCACUUUGGAUCCUGGCCUCAGCUGCUCUGAAUUACCUGGUGCCUUUUGAAUGGCUGAAGAUCAGUUAUUAAAUGGGUUGAGUCCUUGAGUGGCUGCACGGGGACUGAUUUAAGACUGGGCUCCGUUGGUGGAGCAGUUAAGUGCCACUUCUGUGGAAAAUGUCUUGUCUCAUAAGGAAGCUGAGAACAGAUGAGAAGAUGUCUGGGGCAAGGUAUCUCUUGGGCUGUGGAGAAAGGAAUGACAGAAAAAUCCUGUUAUGCCUGUGACGACAGCACACGGCAAAGAACAGAGCUCCUCGGAGCUGACAAAAGCAAGCAGGUUUUCUCCAAGAACAGAGAGGCAGCUUAAGGGGACAUUCACCACAUGAAAUCUGAUCAACGUUAAAACCCGAGUUAAAAUUAGUCUCAGGAACGGUUCCUGCCCCUGGGGCUUGCUGUCAGAUGUUGUGGUUUUACAGACUCAUUUCCCUACUCUAUUAAAAUGUUUGGCUGCUCGGGAAAAUGCGAAGCAACCUCACGUGAAGCUUCUUCGGGAGGACUCUCCUUUGAUUUUGCAAGGCUAAGGAGCCUCUUCAGAUGUUACCUCUGACUGUGCUUCGGUCAAGCCUCCCUUGGUUUUGCUGGGAGCUGCAUCUGAUUCAUAGCAAACUUUGAGAACAAAUUAAACUGAAUGCUUUGUACAUGGA